UACGUAGGUGGCAAGCGUUGUCCGGAAUUAUUGGGCGUAAAGCGCGCGCAGGCGGUUUCUUAAGUCUGAUGUGAAAUCUCGCGGCUCAACCGUGAGCGGUCAUUGGAAACUGGGAAACUUGAGUGCAGAAGAGAAGAGCGGAAUUCCACGUGUAGCGGUGAAAUGCGUAGAGAUGUGGAGGAACACCAGUGGCGAAGGCGGCUCUUUGGUCUGUAACUGACGCUGAGGCGCGAAAGCGUGGGGAGCGAACAGA
rnacentral:rRNA from 1 species